CCUACGGGAGGCAGCAGUGAGGAAUAUUGGACAAUGGGCGCAAGCCUGAUCCAGCCAUGCCGCGUGCAGGAAGAAGCAUCUAUGGUGUGUAAACUGCUUUUGUACAGGAAGAAACACUCCCUCGUGAGGGAGCUUGACGGUACUGUAAGAAUAAGGACCGGCUAACUCCGUGCCAGCAGCCGCGGUAAUACGGAGGGUCCGAGCGUUAUCCGGAAUCAUUGGGUUUAAAGGGUCCGUAGGCGGUUUAAUAAGUCAGUGGUGAAAUCUGGUCGCUCAACGAUCAAACGGCCAUUGAUACUGUUAGACUUGAAUUAUAAGGAAGUAACUAGAAUAUGUAGUGUAGCGGUGAAAUGCUUAGAUAUUACAUGGAAUACCAAUUGCGAAGGCAGGUUACUACUUAUGGAUUGACGCUGAUGGACGAAAGCGUGGGGGUAGGCGACGAGAGUAGUAUACCUCGGUAGUCGACGACCGUAACGAGUAGGAGUACUAGCUGUUCGGUAGGCAUACUGUAGUGGUCGUAAGACGAAGUAGAGUAAGUAGUACCCGACCCGUCGGGGUAAGGUUACGGUUCGUUCGAAGAAGUUAGAAACGUACGAAGGAAGUUAGUACGGCGUUGAGACGUUGCCGACGGACGACGACGAGGGAGGUUAGGAG
rnacentral:rRNA from 1 species